UCAGACCACGCCCUCCUUGUGGAGGCUGAUAUUUACAUCGAUGGAAGUGCAGCAACUAUUAAUGAGAACAAGACAUUCUGCCGGCCUUUAAACUCAUAUACGCACAGGAUUUGGUGGAAAGAUCAUGCAUCUGAUUUGUUUUAUUUUUUGAAAUGCAUGUCAGCAUCAAAACUGACGGACAGAAGAUUUUAAACAAGGGCUGCAGUGGAGGAAAGCUGGUCUGCACAUCAGCGCUGCAGGAACAUAUCGCGAUGACUCUUCCGUGCAACCGCUUUGUUCUUUUGUUAAGCGCCUCCUGCUCUGCUUUGUUGUCAUGGCAUCUCAUUGAGGAUUAUGAAGCUUCGGGGAAAAAACUGGAUUUCCCAGCAAAGCAGCUGAAUUGAUAUAUGAAAGGUCUUUGAUUGAAAAACAAAUAUUUUCAGAGGUAUUAUUAUUUUAUUUUACUAUUGAGUUUGAUGUAUACACAGAAAAUAAAUGAUAUAAUUUUCACGGAUUUAUGUUAGCAUGUUAUUGUUUUUUCCAACAAUGAUGCAAAGUCAAUAUUUAUGCUGUCCAAUAGCAAAUUGCAUUUGUGUUAAAUAGGAUGAAUAUUUAUUAUUAAUAUUUUUUGCAGGUGUGAAAUCAAAUGACAUGAGAUCACAUAACCUAAGCCAAAGCAAUCUACACAGCAAUGGGUUUAAAUCCUGUUUUAUAGAGGACUCAAUCUCACAAGAUUUCUUUUUUCUUACUGUGAUGGUAAUAUGAAAAAUGAAGUUUCUGGUUUUCCUCACAUUCUCAAACAAUUGUACAAUAAUAUUUAGAGCAAACUUUGUGUUUAAGUGCAUCAUCUUUGUAACUCUUGACAACAUAAACUCAGGCCAGCUUAUGUGAUGUUAUAUGUUUUACAAUGAGUCUAAAUCCAUGUGACCCCAUUAAGGGUUUGUGUUCUGAGAUUCUGAUCAUCACAGAUAAAAGAAAUAAAGACUUUUAAACCA